rnacentral:rRNA from 1 species
AGCGAACGCUGGCGGCAGGCUUAACACAUGCAAGUCGAGCGGGCAUCCUCGUGGUGUCAGCGGCAGACGGGUGAGUAACGCGUGGGAACGUGCCCUUCGGUUCGGAAUAACUCAGGGAAACUUGAGCUAAUACCGGAUACGUGCGAGAGCAGAAAGGUUUACUGCCGAAGGAUCGGCCCGCGUCUGAUUAGCUAGUUGGUGAGGUUACGGCUCACCAAGGCGACGAUCAGUAGCUGUUCUGAGAGGAUGAACAGCCACACUGGGACUGAGACACGGCCCAGGCUCCUACGGGAGGCAGCAGUGGGGAAUAUUGGACAAUGGGGCCAACCCUGAUCCAGCCAUGCAGCGUGAGUGAUGACGGCCUUAGGGUUGUAAAGCUCUUUUCUCCGGGACGAUAAUGACGGUACCGGAGGAAUAAGCCCCGGCUAACUUCGUGCCAGCAGCCGCCGUAA